UUAAUGCUGGGAGGCGGUUAUUGUUAAAUAUUCUUUCUAGAUACCUGUGAGUCUGGAACUACAGCAUAUACAGGAUGGGCCAGAAUUCAGUAGAAUUUGACAGGUAAAUAACUUUUUUGUUAGUAGUUAAAACAUUUUAUGCAGUUACAUGUUAUAAUUGAGUCUUGGGAGAUUCAUCAUGGGUUAUCUCAUGAAGGAACAACUAGUAAGAAUUUUGUUUUCAAAACCGAGACAACUGUUCCCCGAGCGAAUAGUUUCAAGAAAUUCCCAGAUGAAUUGGUGGUCACAUUCGCCCGACCUUUCAGCUCCUGAUUACUUCCUGUAGGGAUAUCUGAUGAGAAUGUGUACCUGAACAAACUGGAUACACUUGAGCAGUUCAAAGAAAAUAUAUCUGUGCAGAAAUUCAAUUGCUAGAACCUCAAUCUUUAAAGCAAUCGGCAGAGGUUAACUUUGCAAGGUGACGAAUGGAGCUGAUUCAUUGAUGUUAUCUUCCAUUCUUAGUCAAACAAAUCUCCAUAUGCUAAGCAUUCAUUGUAUGUAAUAUCGCUGAAAUUGGUUUAAUAAUAAAACAAGUUAUUGACACCUCCAUCCCUACUCUGAAUUUUGGCCCACCCUGUAGUACUGUGCACAUUAUAAACUGCAUUAUGUCCUGCUUGUUGUAUGCUUUUUCUAUUCCCUCUGUUUUUCAUAGGCAGGGAUUGUACUGCUCAGGCAUGACACUUGGAGCUAAGAGUAGCUCUUGAUAUUGUGAGUGAUACAGUCUGCAUAUAUAUAUAUAUAUACAUCUUUCAUGCCUCAUAGUUACACUGUGCUUGUUUGUUUGUUUUUCCUUCAUGCAUCAUGUCUUCCAAUUGAAUGCAAUCAUGAUUGAGAGUCAUUUGUACUCCUGAAGAGUAGGAAAUAUUAUUUUGUGAACUUUUAAAGUGGAACGGUCAUUAUAAUGUAGCUUUGGAUGAGUUUAAUGUAGCUUUUUAUGAGUUUAUUGUAUUUAAAUGAUUAAUAAAACCGUACAACAUGGGAGCCCAUUACAUGGUGUAAUAUAAUCUGUAUGACUGCUACGCCUUGAUGCACAGAUCAGCAGUUUCAGGAACUGCCUAGUGCACCAAUCACUAAAUACUAGGAUUAAUGUUCAUUCAUUUGAGCAAUGAUCUACUCAGGUUAUCUCUAGAUUUCUAUUUUUAAUUUUUUUUGGUAAAUCUGAGUUUUAUUUGUUAUACAACCGUGAGAUUUGUAGAUCUCCAAAGUUUUUUGUAAUUCAAAAACAAGUAGAAGGUGUUGUCAAAAGUUGAACACAGUUGAUGUAUUUGGUUAUCUGAGCUCGCAGGCCCACAAUGUUGAUGGACACAGAGGUCCCUUGUGGUGUUCCCACUGUUAAUUGUGUAGAAUAUAUUACAGAGAUCAAGAGGGGAAGGGAGGGUUAGUGGUAAGAAUGCAUAUGUGUAUUUUCAAUUUACAACUUCGUUCUUACAUCGAUAGACAUAUUCACAGAAACAUAUUCACAGAUACCGGACAUUUCGCAUGAAUCGUAGUGUGCAAUAAGGUAGUGUUGGAGUUGUCACUACAGGCUAGUUUUGUAGGCUUAUUCAUAGUGCUUGUUGCUUUCGGGAUUUACCCGAUUGGUGUUUUUGUACUGGGUCUGCCGCUAGAGCUGGCUUGGUGUUUCCCAUCUGGUUACUUGUGCGCUCAGUGUUGCUCAUUUUGUGUUGGUUAAACAAAUCUUGGGCAGUCCGUUCGUGAUUAUGGUCUGUGCGUCUUGUGGGAAGUCAUUGAUUAUCCGAUUGAGGUUGGAUGAGUUCUGUAAUUCCUAGAUAUGUGUCAGGUCAUGCUUAUGUUUAAUCCUGCCCAAUAGGGGUGCUGUCUGCGUCAGGCCUUCAUCCCUAGUUUCUCCUCUAGUUUUUAUCAGGCGAGUCCGCCUUUGCUUAGUAGGUAGAGGUAUUCUGAUAAGUGCAGCGAGCUAGGUGGCCAUUGCUUUAUGUUAAGUUCUGUAGCUGCUUUGGCUAACUCUGUGUGUGUGAGUUCAGUGGAUGUGCUAUGCUUCCUUCCACGUGUGUAAUAGGCCUCUUACCAUUUUUGUUCUGCCCAUAUUCAUUUCUUUUGUCUCGUAGUGGGUUUGUCUGUAUGUGUGUGUUGCUCACUGUUCAUUUUUGAUAGAUUUCUAAUUUUACAAUGUCCCAAUAAAUAUCUUAUGCUCUGCUUUGAAAAUGUUAUUCUCUACAAAUUAUUUUUAUGUUCAGAAUAAAUAUAUAUCCUUUGUUAUAUGGGACAACCUUUAUGUAUUGUGAAUUUUUCCAUCUGCCCACAGUCUUAUAAAACGUUCACACAGUAACAUACAGACUGAAGAGCAAUCUCUAUAUAAUUCUGUUUUAGGAUAUUUAAGUAAAGGCAAAUGGGUAUAUUAGAUCAUCUGAAAGUAAAUGUUUCUUACCUGUUGUAGUGUUUUGUGUCAACACCAAAUCUGUAGAAAUUAACAGAAAGAGGAAUUAAUUCCUUAACGCUUUAU